rnacentral:rRNA from 1 species
AUGGGCGGGGGGCUAGGGGCGAGGGAGGCGACGGCCGUCGAGGCCGCCUCCAUCUGCGUGCUCCUCGCCGUCGCCGAGCUGACCGACGCCAUCAUAGUCCGCCGUCACGCGGAGCUGCGUCUCCUCCGCCGCGCACCCGUCGCGACGGUGCGGCUGGAGGCGACGGCCGUCCUAGCCCCUCGGCGCCCUCCUCCUCGUGAGCGACGGAAUCAUCCUCGUCGUCUUCUCAAGCUUAUCGGGACGCUGGGAACUUGUCCGUUGCGCGGCCGCCCGGAGGCGACGGCGCGAUCCUGCGCCGCGACACCCUCCACCGUCACGUCUUCUCCUAGCCCGGUGACCAGGGCGCUGCCCAUGGGUGACGGGACCCUCCUCCUUGUCUUGUACGGGCGCUGGGGUUGCCAGGAAGUCCAGGCCAGAGGCCAUCAUGCGCUAUUUUUUGCUAUCGCUGCUGUGUGUCGCUACUGUCAGGUAGUGAGAUGCCUGCAGGGUGUCUUCCUGUUCCCCCUCUUCUCUACACUUUUUUUCUGUGAAGGGCUAUGUUAG